GCGGGCGGGUUUUUCCCUCCGCUGCCUCUUCCUCCUGCUUCCUUGCAGAAGGGAAGGGGGCGGCGGAGGAGCUGCAAAGGUGGGCUCGGCAAAGAGCUGCUGGUGGUGGAACUGCAGGCGCAGGAGAGGAGGGUUUUGUGGUGCGCUUUCAGAGGAGCUGUCGUAAAUUCACGUGCUCUGUGUCCUGUGCCACGGGGUUACUGUAGUGUAGGCCUUCUCCAGCAGAGAGAACGACGAAGACUCUAUAUCCGGAAAUGCAAGAGAAACUCCCAACAACUCAAGCCUAUAUGCGUGUUUCUAGGAAGUAAGUAAAGGGUGCAAUCCUGUUCCCAAGGAGCACCGUUACUCCAGAAGCUAGUAUGGCUUCUAAGUAAAAUUCAGUGAGUAUUAUUUCCAAGUAGGAAAGGUUGCAGCUUUGGGGAACGAGGGGGCGUUUUGUUCUUUUUGCUAAAUGUGUAGAGAGCGCUUUAUAAAUUGUGGAUCUCAGGGUGGCUUCAGAAGCCACGUCUUAACUAGAAGGUGUAAGGAUUGCCACUUCUUUUUAAUAGUGUUUCUGUGCCUAGCCUGCAUGGUGGACAUGAAUUCCGUAGGUGAUGCUUUUCCCUGGCAAUGCAGGCUGAUGGGAACUUUACCUGUUGAAUUUUUGCAUGUUGAGUAGCUUAUAAAGGAGCAACAGCCCGUUCCUGAAAAAAGGUGGCAACUCAAGGUGAACAUGUGUGAAUUUAGCUGUACCAAUCACUACCAAACAUCUAGCCACACCAAUCUCUUGGUGUCUUCCUACAGGGGUGGAUAACCACACCCAUCUGUAUCUUAUGGAUGGAUCAACAUGUAUUGCAUAUUAUUGAAUGAGUGUCAGAUCUAAAUUAAUAUUGAGACAUCCACAGGAUUACCAUGCAGUGACUGUAAAGCACUAACACAAAUUGCAGGGAAAAGGCAGUCAUUCUCACCAUAAAGUGGCUGUAUCUAGAAUUUAUAUAUAUAUGUAUAUUUCUACUUCCAGCACUGUUUUUCUGGCCAGAACCAGAGUUAAAGAAGAUACAACAUUCUGAUUCUUAAGUUUUGAUCUGGCUGAAUCUGAGGCCCUUCAUGUGCCCCUUCCACACAAGGUCUGGAAGGCUGCAACAUAAGAACAGGCCUUUUCAGUGGUGGCUCUCCACUUGUGGAAUGCUCUCCCCAACAAUUGCCAGGCAUCAGUGUUUUUUUCUGGGGACACGCAUGCCCCUAAACAUUUUGUGAAUCUAAGUUUCACUUAGGAAAAUGAGAGUACCCCUAAACGUUUUUUUGGGGGGCAGGGGAGCACUGUCUGGCACCAUCAUUAGAUACCAGGCAAAAACAUACCUUUUUCAUCAGGCCUUUGGCUUUUAUUUAUCUGUGGCCUUUUUGCAUAGGUGCAUUGUUUUUAUCCAGCUUUUUAAAAAUAAAAUUGUCUUUCCAAUUUUCUAAACUGCUG